CGCGCGUAGGUGGUUUGUUAAGUUGGAUGUGAAAGACCCGGGCUUCAACCUGGGAACUGCAUCCAAAACUGGCAAGCUAGAGUAUGGUAGAGGGUGGUGGAAUUUCCUGUGUAGCGGUAGAAAUGCGUAGAUAUAGGAAGGAACACCAGUGGCGAAGGCGACCACCUGGACUGAUAACUGACACUGAGGUGCGAAAGCGUGGGGGAGCAAACAGGAUUAGAUACCCUUGU
rnacentral:rRNA from 1 species